AAAUUGAAGAGUUUGAUCAUGGCUCAGAUUGAACGCUGGCGGCAGGCCUAACACAUGCAAGUCGAGCGGUAGCACAGAGAGCUUGCUCU
rnacentral:rRNA from 2 species